AUUGAACGCUGGCGGCAGGCUUAACACAUGCAAGUCGAGCGGGGUGAUGGUGCUUGCACUAUCACUUAGCGGCGGACGGGUGAGUAAUGCUUAGGAAUCUGCCUAUUAGUGGGGGACAACAUCUCGAAAGGGAUGCUAAUACCGCAUACGUCCUACGGGAGAAAGCAGGGGAUCACUUGUGACCUUGCGCUAAUAGAUGAGCCUAAGUCGGAUUAGCUAGUUGGUGGGGUAAAGGCCUACCAAAGCGACGAUCUGUAGCAGGUCUGAGAGGAUGAUCCGCCACACUGGGACUGAGACACGGCCCAGACUCCUACGGGAGGCAGCAGUGGGGAAUAUUGGACAAUGGGGGGAACCCUGAUCCAGCCAUGCCGCGUGUGUGAAGAAGGCCUUAUGGUUGUAAAGCACUUUAAGCGAGGAGGAGGCUCUUUUGGUUAAUACCCAAGAUGAGUGGACGUUACUCGCAGAAUAAGCACCGGCUAACUCUGUGCCAGCAGCCGCCGUAA
rnacentral:rRNA from 1 species